CUUCCUGGGAGAUGUCUGGGAUUUGUUUCUGUAGAGCUGGAUAUAGCUACCCUUUUUCAAAUGGGCUUUGAGAUAUGCACUCUACCCCCCAGAUCCUGUCUCUCACUGCCUGGAUUUGGAGUAGGAAGCCUUUGGAUUCCUCAUUUGCUAAUCAGAGAAGCAGGCAGCUGCUGCUGUUGGAGCUCUCACAGUGUGAAAUGCAGCAUGCUUACAGAUGAGGGCAAGACUACUCUCUGGGGCAGUACAGCUCCCAGCAGCAUCCUAUCCACCCUCUUGUACAUGAAGAGUGGGCUGUCUAACACCCUUCAUGUGAAACAAGCAGGAGAGGAAAAGAUGGUGAGAAGCAGGAGACUGCUGCUAUUUCUCCUCUUUUUCCGAUUGCUUCUUGCAAGUGCAAUGUUGGACCUUGUCAGUGUGGAGGAGGAUAGUUCUGGGAGUGCAGCAAUCCAUCAGAAAAUCUUGCCAGAAAGUUUCCCAUCAAAACUCAUCAAGUUUCCCCAGGAGCCUGGAGGAGGAUCUGGCAGACAGGCUCUGUGAGCAUCAUGUGAAGAUGAACCCAGUCCUGCAGCAUGUUUCCCCAGCAGUGUGCUGGCUGACAUCACUCUGACCAGCAGUUCUAGCAAGGUUCUUGUCUGCCUAGCUGUCAAAGGACCACUUGAGUGUUUUCAGCAAAUCAGCUUUAAUAGCCUCACCAUUUCAUCUCUAUAAGGCUGUUAGUCCCUAGGUAACCAUCUAGGCAAACUGCAAUCAUCUCCUGUCUGCUGAGCUAUAAAUCCUUAUUUGCAGUCUCAUGUCUGUGCUAGAGUCUGUCUGCAGAUCUCCCAUGAUAUGGUCAUCAACUCCAGGAUAAGAUCACAUGGGGAAAGCUGCUGGAUUUCUGGUACUUCUAAGAGAGGAUGGCAGGUUUUUUUCUUCUUUUUCUGAAGACUGCUCCCUCACACGUAGAUUUUAUCUGUCUGGACGUAAGAGCUCCUGGGGCAAGUUCUCUGUCCAGGGUGUCAGUGCAGCAUAAGGAACAGAGUCAUCAUGGAUGACUUUACAAGCUGGGGACUCAUUAGUCUUUGACCUGGUUUAUGAAGCCCAGAUGUUUUUCAGCUCUCUGCUACACCAUGACCAGGUGAAGGGCAGCUGAGGGUGCUACGGUGGGCAGAUGGGAUGAUUACCAGGGCAGCACAGAGCUUUUGUGCCUCUCCAGCUGCCUGGGAUAGAGACAGCUGGAUCUACACAGAUACAGAACUGCAAUUUAGUGUGGAGGCAUGGCAGUGAUUUAUAGUCCUUGGCCUUGAAAUCCAGCAGCAAAGGGAUACCAAAGGUGCUAUAUCUAAGAGGAUGGAGGAAGCGCUGGUGUACUACAGAGUCUACCCUAUAAGCUUAGGAGAGCUGCAUGCCACUGGACAGCCCAUGUGUUUUUCUCCUCUUAAAUCUUUCUAUUCCAUUUGUUCUGCAGCGU
rnacentral:lncRNA from 1 species